rnacentral:rRNA from 1 species
GGAAUAUUGGUCAAUGGGCGAAAGCCUGAACCAGCCAUGCCGCGUGCAGGAAGACGGUCCUAUGGAUUGUAAACUGCUUUUAUUUGGGAAUAAACCUCUGGUCGUGACCGGAGCUGAAGGUACCAAAUGAAUAAGCACCGGCUAACUCCGUGCCAGCAGCCGCGGUAAUACGGAGGGUGCAAGCGUUAUCCGGAAUCAUUGGGUUUAAAGGGUCCGCAGGCGGGCUUAUAAGUCAGUGGUGAAAGCCUACAGCUUAACUGUAGAACUGCCAUUGAUACUGUAAGUCUUGAAUUCGGUCGAAGUGGGCGGAAUGUGUAGUGUAGCGGUGAAAUGCUUAGAUAUUACACAGAACACCGAUAGCGAAGGCAGCUCACUAGGCCUGGAUUGACGCUCAGGGACGAAAGCGUGGGGAUCAAACAGGAUUAGAUACCCUGGUAGUCCACGCCGUAAACUAUGAUUACUCGUUUUCGGCGAUAUACUGUCGGAGACUAAGCGAAAGUGAUAAGUAAUCCACCUGGGGAGUACGAUCGCAAGGUUGAAACUCAAAUGAAUUGACGGA